rnacentral:rRNA from 1 species
AUUGAACGCUGGCGGCAGGCCUAACACAUGCAAGUCGAACGGUACAACAGAGAGCUUGCUCUCGGGUGACGAGGGGCGGACGGGUGGGUAACGAUUGAGAAAAUGCCCGAUGGAGGGGGAUCACCACGGGAAACGGUAGCUAAUACCGGAUAACGUACCAAGACCAAAGCGGGGGAGCUUCGGGCUCAACACCAAACGAGGUGCACAGAUGGGACUAGCUAGUAGGUGGGGUAAUGGCUCACCUAGGCGACGAUCCCUAGCUGGUCUGAGAGGGGGAACAGCCACACUGGAAGUGAGACACGGUCCAGACUCCUACGGGAGGCAGCAGUGGGGAAUAUUGCACAAUGGGCGCAAGCCUGAUGCGGCCAUGCCGCUUGUAUGAAGAAGGCCUUCGGGUUGUAAAGUACUUUCAGCGGGGAGGAAGGCGGUGAAGUUAAUAGCUUCACCAAUUAACGUUACCCGCAGAAGAAGCACCAGCUAACUCCGUGCCAGCAGCCGCCGUAA